ACAAAGGGAAGUGUGAAGUCAAGCCAUACUAACACACCAUUUUGCUGAAGUCAUAUACAGAUAUACAGAGGGGGAAAUAAGCCGCAGAAACAUGCCAGUGUAUAUAAGCAUAUAUUGUCACAAGUUAGAAAUAGCUUCGACUGCAUACCUAGUUUGUGCUAGACACAUGAACACAGUCAAGUGGAAUUUCCUAGCCUCUCAAGUGUAUAGAUGUCGUCAUCAAGUGUCUCUAGAGAGCAGGACAGUCAAUUUGUUGCCUUGCUAAGAAAGACACUGAAAUGCAGUGCUUGUAAUAAUAAACUGAAAUUCAAUAUCUCCUACUUUUAAUCCGUUCUGCCUCAUAUUAUAGCUAGCUCGUUUAGUUCUCGUCUUCUGUAAUUCUAUAUCUUGAAGAUCAAGUAUUUACUGGACAAAACCACAUCGCUUCCUGGUAUGGAACCUGAAAUGCUAGCAUUCGAGAAAGCAAGGUGCCAGCUCUUGGGGGCGGACAAACUUAAGCACUUCAAUUUUCACUUAUCUUUGCAAAAUUUUCGUUCAGAUAGCAUUCCUAGACAUGUCCUAAGUCCACCAAAUCAGAACGCUGUCCUAAAUCAAGAUGUAGCGUCCAUAUAUUCCAUUACCAUAACUUAUAUUAACGCUAACAAUGCUGUUUCACCAGCCACGAUGGAAGCACUGAGUCGAGAACACCGAAGCUGAGAUCUGUUAUGGUGAGCGAGGUUCAAGAAGCUAGGCGACAGUAUGAAAUUUGAUAGGCCACUGAAAGACAAAUGCAGUACAGUCAGAGAUGCUUGAGCCGAUAUAGUCCUCUGAUUCACUCAGAACUAGCCAUAGAGAGGUCCUCAUGACAUGGAGCAGAGAUACUUCAAAGAACCAAGGGCGACUAUCCACUUUACAUUUAAACCCUGGAAUUCCCACGAAAGAUCAAGAUACCACAAGCAAGCUCGACGAGUUUCCUAGAUUUUAAGCAAUUGCCCUGCUAUAUGCUCCAUAUCAUAUUCUCCAAGCAUCCAAGAAAUUCAGGAAUGACAUUGCCAUCGAAUGCAUUGAAGCUCAAGCCCAAAUAUCUCGGAAACCAGAGUCUCACCGGUGAAGGCCUGGUUUCCAAUGACCGUGCCUGUUCUAAGAAUCAUAGCCCGUGGGGUACGGGCAGUUAGUGAUAAUCAACUGUAAAAACUACUUCUGUGUAAUCCUUCCAGAGUCCAUUCGUCACUAGUCCGGAUAGUUCUUUCCACUACAUGACUGUGGGAGAGCUCUGGGAACUUCAAGGCCGUUGCCGAUGGCGAUCAACGAGAGCUUCUCUAUCCAAUUCCAAACAACUCAAGAAGCCGAUAUCGAAUUCCUCACCAUGAGGUCGCCGCGCGAGAUGAGGCGAAUAUGUGUCCAAGAAGUUGAUGAAGUGCAAGUCCAAGGAGUUUAUCCUGGUUUUGCAGAUCACCAAAUUUCGUACAUCACAAGAAACAACGGUGAUCAAAGAUUUCUCAUAUAUGUAUGUACCUCAAGAUAUUCCGAAUUAUCAAAGAAAUUGAUACUAGGAAAAUUACUAGAAAAAUCCUAAAAUUACUAUACUUAUGUCAAUUCAAUUUUAAACCUUUCAAAUGUGCUAAUUAAAUUCUAAAAUUUUUCAAAUUUUUCCAUUUGAGUCAUUCCAAUCAUUUUUGGCUAGAAUCGCUAACAUAAAUGCCCACAGUGCCAUGUAAAAUACAUUAAAUUUUUCUUAUAUUUUUUAAAAAAUUUGAUUUAAAAAAAUGUUUUUUUUUUCUCUUUUUGUCUUUUUUUUUUUUCUACCAAGUCCAUUAGUCCCUAGCCAAUGAAUGGGUGCCACAAACCCCUCGCCCGUGGAUGAUGAGGGCUUUGUGGCCCUUAGGCAAGGGUUGUGAAUCCCUCGCUUACAGAUGAUGUAGGUAGGUCGGCCGACCCUCCCUUUUGACAAGCAAUGGCCCUCGUUGGGCUUGGAAGAAAAGAAAUGAAAAGGAAGAAAAGAAAGAAAAAAAUCUAAAAAAUUUAGAAUAAUUAUAAAAAUUAUCUAUGUCAGCACUAGUCGUGCCACGUAAAAUAGGUGGCGUCUAAGUCAAUAAUUUUCAACUAAAGUCAAUCGGGUGGACUCAAUUAGCAAAACAUAAAUACCGCGUUUGACAGUUGGGAUAAAAUUUAAAGUAUAAUAAAGUUUAUUAUACCCUUUGUUUGUUUGUUUGGUUUUUUUUUUUGGUAAAGUUAUACCUUUUGUUUGUUGCUUGCUAAAGGAUAAAGUCAGAUAUAAAAAUGAUAUAAAUUAAAUAAAAUUAUCCCAUAAGAGAGGUGAGAUAAAAGUUGAUAAAAUUAAUAUCUAAUAUAAAUAUUUUUUUCUCAAAUAACAAACUUCUUAAAUUAACAAAAUUAAAUUACAUUUCAAUAUAAAUUAUAUUCGAAUUCUAAUAUAAAAAUUCAAAAUAACAAAAGAUAACAAUUUAGUUUUUUUUAGUUUAAUCUUAUUAUUAUUUAUAUCUUCAAUUUUAAUUCUAUUUAUAAUAUAAAUUCAAUAUAUAAUAUAUUUAUAUUUAGUAUAUAUUUUAAGCAUUUUAGUAAUUUAUUCAUAUUAAUGCGGUUUACAUUUUAAUAAAAUUUUAUUAGAUAAUAAUAAGGGGAAAAAGAAAUAAAAAAUGAAAUGAUUAAAACAGAGAGGAAAAAUAAAAUAAAAAUAAGCAUAUAAAAAUAAAGUAGGCAAGGAUGUCAUGAGGGAUUUUUACCAUCUCCCUUUAUGAAUAUUUUAGGUUCAUUCACAUCGAUAUGCCAUUUAUACCAAAUAAGUACAAAAUAUGAUAUGAAUAUAUUCAACUUAUUAUUGUGAUUCAUCAAAUAGUAAAUAGGACAUAACACAAUUCUUAGAUUUUAUAUUUUAUUAUAUCCAGUUCUAUCUUGAUAAGAAAUCCAUACAACCAACCAUAGUCAAAAGAUUUAUGACUCAAUCAGCAUAGAUACAAUAAGUUCAAAACUUUUUUAGCAAUUUCCCCAAUUGAUACCUAAUCCAAAAUUUGACUAUAUAGUAAUAAAGAUGGAUAUGUUGCUAGAUAGAAGAGAAGUUAGCCAAGUAUUACAAAAAUCUAAACGACAUGAUUCGAAAUAACAAAAAUCCUUAGAUAACUUUUUUUUUUCAAGCUAAUUAUAUUAAAUUAAUGCAAUGACAUGUCAAGAAAUUUAAGAACUCACAUUAAGACCCAUGAAGAAUUCAUGCUCCCACAAAAGAUUUGUACAACAAUUAAUUUCUAUUUAUUGCGUCAUCCAGAUAAUAGAAAAACCCACCAUUCAUUGUUAACUCAAACUGAAAAAAAAAAUCUAUCGAAUGUUAUGAAAUACAUGAAUAAAUAUUCAUAUAUUCAUUAUAUUUAUCUUAUCUAAUGUACUUAUUAUGGUACAUUUAUAUCGUACAUUUUAAGUAUAUCUUCAUUUACAAUGAACGUUCAUCUCCCUUAUCCAGUACAUUAAUAAUUCGAUACAUUGAUAUUAAUGAUUAGUACAUUUUUGUUCUCCUAUAAAUAAGAAUUUAGUUUUGAUGUACAAGAACAACAAUAGAACAACAGUGAGAUACUGGAAAUAAAACUCUAUCAUCUAGCUUUCUCUACUAUCUGUAGUGUUCACUUAUUUUCUCUUCUCAAUCUAUUCUCCAUUAUAUAUUCGCAACGUAAUAUUUUACAACAUCAAAAACAUUCUCUUAUUAUUGAGGAAAAAAAAAACAAUUGAAAUGGUCCAUCUUCUAAGAGGGUCUAAUUGAAUGCUUUUGCUUUUGCUUUGAACAGGUGCAAUGUCAAAUACCGAUUUUCUCGCCAAUGCCAAAGUAACCGUGGCAAAUGAUGCAACGAGACCCCUUCUAAAGAUAACCAGAAAUGGACCAACGAGAAAGAAGGAAAAAACCGAAUCCUCCUCUUCGAAAUCUUUAUGAAUUGCCAAGAUUCCCACUCCCUUCCCACUCUCUUCAAAAUACACCAACCGAACAACUCACCAAAACUCCCUCUUUCUGUCCCCCGGUCUCUCUCUCUCUAGCUCUCAUUGCAUGCUCAAUAGUAUAAAGCAACGGCAGUCGUUUGUAUGACCAAAUGCAAAAGCCCCCAGCUUUCCAAAACCAAACGCCAUCGACACGUCGAAGUACCCCCCCUCAUACGUCCCCUCUUUCCUGAUAUCAGGACCAGAACAUUGUCACUGUUAUCGGGCAAGAAAGUCCACCCCUUUAUUUGGUUUUGGAGAGGGAGGGUCACGGGUUUGAAAGGUUCAAACGUCGGAACAUGGUUGGACACAAGCUGGUGCUGGCAUUGAUUCUACUCUCGUGGGCAUCUUCAGUGUCGUGCUCUGUUUCUUACGACAGAAAAGCUAUCAUCAUCGAUGGCAAGAGGAGGAUCCUCAUCUCGGGCUCCAUUCACUAUCCCAGGAGCACGCCUGAGGUAGCGACGAUCCCAAUGCAGCUCACGACAUGUCUCUUUCUAUACCUUUUUCUUUUUUCUCGAAAAGGAAGCGUAUUUUAUUUGGUCUCUGGGCUUUCGCGUGGUUGCAGAUGUGGCCUGAUCUCAUAAGGAAGGCCAAAGAGGGGGGGUUGGAUGUGAUCCAAACCUAUGUUUUCUGGAACGGACAUGAACCUUCUCCCGGAAACGUAAUGCGACUUAUGAUCUUCUUUGGAUAACAUAACCAUUUUCAUUCACUGAUUACAUGUUUUCCCUUUUUCUUUUAAAAAUUAAUGAAUUUGAAAAAUUAAUGAAUUUUCCUGUUCUCUCCUUUUCUUAUUUCCCACCCUUUCUGCAGUACUACUUUGAGGACCGGUAUGAUCUGGUUCGGUUCAUCAAGCUGGUGCAACAAGCUGGUCUUUACGUUCAUCUCCGGAUUGGGCCUUACGUCUGCGCCGAGUGGAAUUUUGGGUACCUAUUUUCUAGCAUAAAAAUGAAAAGGAGAAGUUUUUUCUUUUCAAUUUAUUUUGCUAUGUAUUUUGAAACUCAUGUGCUCUGUUUUUUGUGCUGGUUCGUGAUGCAGAGGAUUCCCUGUUUGGCUGAAAUUUGUCCCGGGGAUCGCUUUCAGAACAAACAAUAAGCCAUUCCAGGUUGUCCAUUUUUCUGAACAAAUUUCCCUUAUCAAUCUUUUUCAUAUUUCUAAACCUUUGACUAACGAAACAUUUAUCAAUCAUUUAAUGAAGGAUGCAAUGCAAAGGUUCACGCAGAAGAUUGUCAACAUGAUGAAGGCAGAGAGGUUGUUUCAGUCCCAGGGAGGUCCAAUAAUAUUAUCUCAGGUAUGAAAACGUUCCACCAUUUCUACAACCCCUUCUAGAAGAUGGACCAUUUCAAUUGGUGUUUUUUUCCUCAACAAUAAAGAGAAGGUUUUUGACAAUAAAGGACAUUAUUUUCUAUACCUGCUUGGAAUUUUUAAUGAUAUUUUUGUUUAGCUGAUAAGCUUGGAAUUUUGUGUCUGUUGGCAGAUAGAGAAUGAAUUUGGACUAGUUGAACGGGGAAUUGGAGCACCAGGCAAGGCAUACACAAAAUGGGCUGCAAGUAUGGCUGUGGGACUUGGCACUGGUGUUCCAUGGGUUAUGUGCAAGCAAGAUGAUGCUCCUGAUCCUGUGGUUUGUACUUUUCUGGAUCUUAUUAGUUAAACUUAUAUUUAUAUAAGAUAUAUGUACAUAUCCAUAUAAGUUGGUUACGAUGUCAUCUGUUUUGUGAUCACUGAGGGCCUCCGAGGCUGGUGGGGUCUCAUCAACAGUUUUUUUUUCUAAACUUUAGGUGGCCUAUAUGGUCGUAAACAGGUCCCCCUUUUUCCAUAUGCCAUGUGCUUUUAAUUUUUCCUCUUCCUUAUUCUUUCUUGCUCUUCAUAGUUUCAUAAUGAGUCAGGAAAGUCUCCCCAUAGGUACUUAAUUAUUGUGUCCCGAAACGAUGUAUAUGCCUCGAAUCUGGUUUGGCUUGACUUCGCUUGUUGACUUCGUUUAAAUGGCAUGGCCUGACAACAAUGUUCAAACUUAAGCAGGGUGGGUUUUUCCGCAGCAUGGUUGUCAUUCUUGACUUAUUUCGUAAAAUUUAUCUAAGAUGGGAGUAAGACAGAUUCUAGAAAAUAAUUUUUCCUGUCCUUGACUAAUGUUGAUUCGUUAUGCGACAGAUUAACACGUGGAAUGACUUCUACUUCAAAGAUUUCAAACCAAACUCGAAUAAUAAACCCAAGAUGUGGACUGAAAACUGGACCGGCUGGUAUGUGAAGAAGCGCAUAUCUGAACAAGCUGAAAUUUUCAACUUCCCCCCUCCCCUCUGUAUCUUUCUCAGUCAUGUAGAUUCAAAGCUGAUUAUUAUGAUGAUUUCUAGGUACACUGAGUUUGGGGGAGCAGUGCCUUAUAGGCCAGCAGAGGAUUUGGCGUUCUCGGUCACGAGUUUCAUUCAGAACAGCGGCUCAUUCAUCAAUUACUAUAUGGUAAUCUUGACUUCCGUAGCAUCUGUGGCUCUGUAUCAAUCACUUGAUUUUGCCUUUCCAUUAUGCUGCGAAUUAUAAUCAUUAGUUAACCUUCUUUUUGUCUCCUUUUAAAUGAUUGCAUACUUGCUUGUUCUUUAUAUGGGUCUUGUUUGUUGUCUUUAGUAUCAUGGAGGAACCAACUUUGGCAGGACAGCUGGUGGUCCCUUCAUUGCCACCAGCUAUGACUACGACGCUCCUCUUGAUGAAUACGGUAUGUGACUUGGAAUAGACUGUUAGUAUCCUGGUGUGGGCAAGGCUAACUUUGCUGAUGUGCCUCAAUUUGCUUCACUUUGAGCAUUCAACGGAUCUAACUACUUUAAGACUGGAGUAAUUGGUAACACCGUCAGAAGUUUAACCGAGUGAAGGCAAAUCUACAUCUUGUUGCUUAAACAUUAAACCUUUUAAGACUAAGUCUAGAAGUAAUUCAUGACAUCCUAUCAUGGCGAUUACUAAGUCAUCUUCCUGACAUCAGAAUUCACGUAAAUGUCACAGGUUUACUGAGGGAACCGAAAUGGAGUCACUUGAGAGAUUUGCACAAAGCCAUUAAGCAAAGUGAAUGGGCUCUGGUUUCUGCUGAUCCAGCAGUGCAAUCACUUGGAAGUAAUCAAGAGGUUUAAUUCUCUAGCCCCCUUAAAACGAACAUGCAUAAAAACACUCUCACAGCCUUGUGGGUUGUUAAUUAAGCUUUUACCUGUCAAAUUCUAUUUUUCUUAGGCUCACGUGUUCAAAGCUGGAAGCAGAUGCGCGGCCUUCCUGGCAAACUACGACACGAAGUAUUCUGUCAGAGUCAAUUUUGGAAACGGGCAAUAUGACUUGCUGCCUUGGUCCAUCAGCAUUCUUCCAGACUGCAAAACUGCCGUUUACAACACUGCAAGGGUAAGGCAAAGACCAUUCAGUUCCACGACAUUUUGCAUCAACUCUUUCCAAUUUAACAUGUUCCGUUACUUUCCCUUAAACAAUUCUUUUUAAGAGAUUAAGUUCAAGGCUGACACAAUAUUAUCAAUUUUCAAACAGGUCAAUGCAUCGAGUUCUCAGAAUAAGAUGGUGCCAGUAGGUGGAUUCUCUUGGCAGUCGUACGUAGAAGAAACUGUCUCUGCCUUUGGCAGCGACACGUUUACAAAGGAUGGGCUGUUGGAGCAAAUUAGUCUCACUAGAGAUGCUUCAGACUAUUUGUGGUACACGACAGAGUGAGUGCUGCUUGCGACUUGCAUCUCAUAAGCAUUGCGAAAACUUCAAUAUAGUGGACUGUCAUGUGCUUACAAUUUUACUUUCCUGAUCAUGUUGAUUGUUCAGCAUCACGAUAAGUCCUAACGAAGCAUUUCUGAGAAGCGGCCAAUCUCCUGUGCUCACCAUAUUGUCUGCAGGACAUGCGAUGCAUGUUUUCAUCAAUGAUGAACUCACAGGUAAAUCAAUUUCCGCCUAGAUCCCAAAAUGCAAUAUCCUUUCAGUACCUGAAAUCUCAAUAUAUAACAUAUGUUACUUGGGUAAUUGUCUGUCUGUAAUACAGGGUCCGUAUAUGGAUCAUUAGAGAAUCCAAAAUUAUCAUAUGGUAAUAAUGUGAAGCUGAGGGCUGGCAUAAACAAACUGUCGAUAUUGAGUGUAGCUGUCGGGCUUCCGGUCAGUAUUUUGCCAGUCAACAUGAUAUUGUUAAGCUAUAUGCAUGUGAGGAUCUUAACAUUAGUACAUUUUCCACUUCUGUUUCCAACAUUCAGAAUGUUGGCCUGCAUUUUGAGACAUGGAAUACCGGGGUUCUUGGGCCAGUCACAUUGAAGGGUCUCGAUUCUGGGACGUGGGACAUGUCGAAAUGGAAAUGGUGUUACAAGGUAUCUGUACUCGGUCUGCUGCUGCUUUGUUCUUCUUUUGCCUUUCAACAAAAAGUUCAGAUACAAAAGAUACCGCACCAAUGUGGAUUCAUUGUUGUUAGAUGAAAAUCAAAUAAACUGAUAUCUCAGAGCUUUUUUUUUUUAAAAAAAGGAAUUAAAAUAAAAGUAUGUUUGUGCUCAAAUUUCUCGAUGGUUGAGUAGUCCUGGUUAUCAAUGGUUUGCGUGGAUAAACUAAUGUUCAGUUAACUAGUUGUAAUAAUGUGUGGAUUUAUGUUGGUUUAAGACAUGACUCAUACUAUGCCAUACAAGAUAGAGAAUAAUCUGUUACACCAUCUUCAAAAUUCAAAACCUAAAUAUUUGCUCUUCCGGAACAGGUCGGUCUCAAGGGCGAAAAUCUGAGCAUCAACACCCUAAGCGGUAGUUCCUCAGUUGAAUGGCUUGAAGAUUCAAUGUUGGCCCAAAGACAGCCCCUGACCUGGUACAAGGUGAAGAUCCCACCCCGAAAACUUCACUUGAUAAUAACUGCUUGUCUGGUUUUCCUUUGAAAAUCAAAUUAAGCUUUGUUUGCAGGCUACUUUCAAUGCUCCCCCAGGACGUAGUCCAUUAGUCUUGGACAUGAACAGCAUGGGAAAGGGUGAGAUAUGGAUAAAUGGUCAGAGCAUCGGACGCCACUGGCCUGCUUACACAGCUCGUGGCAGUUGUGGCGGCUGCAGUUAUGCUGGAACUUUCAAUGAGAAUAAGUGCCGAAGUGGUUGUGGAGAGGCUUCUCAAAGAUGGUGAGAAAAGUAGAACUGCACUUUUUCUUUAUUAAUUUAUAUUUUGAUUUGAACACCUAUUAAUAAGCUUUUAAUUUUCAGGUACCACGUUCCAAGAUCGUGGUUGAAUCCUACAGGCAAUCUAUUGGUCAUUUUUGAAGAAUGGGGUGGCAACCCGACUCAAAUUACUUUGGUCCAAGCAACAAGGACUUUGUAGUAGCAGAACUUCUAGAUCAAUGCGGUUUAUAGCUGAAAUUAAGCAAUUUCUGUAGUUUGCAGAAUAAGUGAUAUACAAGAGCAUAGCAUUCGUCUUCUUUUUUCAGUCUUUGAAAGCUUGUGCAAGUAAAGGAUGCCAUUACAACUACCCAGACUUCGACAAAGGGAAGCGUGUAAGUCAAGCAUGCCAACACACCAAUUUGCUGAAGUCAUACAGAUAUACAGAGGGGGGAAUAAGCUGCAGAAACAUGCCAGUGCAUAUAAGCAUAUUGUCACUAGUUAGAAAUAGCUUCGACUGCAUACCUAGUUUGUGCUAGACAUAUGAACACAGUCAAGUGGAAUUUCCUGGCCUUUCAAGUGUAUAGAUGUCGUGAUCGAGUGUCUCUAGAGUGCAGGACAGUCAAUUUGUUGCCUUGCUAAGAAAGACACUGAAAUGCAG
rnacentral:lncRNA from 1 species